UACGUAGGGUGCAAGCGUUGUCCGGAAUUAUUGGGCGUAAAGAGCUCGUAGGCGGUUUGUCGCGUCUGCUGUGAAAACCCGAGGCUCAACCUCGGGCCUGCAGUGGGUACGGGCAGACUAGAGUGCGGUAGGGGAGAUUGGAAUUCCUGGUGUAGCGGUGGAAUGCGCAGAUAUCAGGAGGAACACCGGUGGCGAAGGCGGGUCUCUGGGCCAUAACUGACGCUGAGGAGCGAAAGCGUGGGGAGCGAACAGG
rnacentral:rRNA from 1 species